AAUUCUGUUUUUCAUACAUGAAUAUUUAAACAGAGUAAUAUUGUCUGUUCUUUCUGUAAGGCCCCCUUCUUAAUCAUUAAUAUCUGUAGUUUUGUGCAAAUACACCCCAUAUAUAUAUAUAUGAUUUGUAUGCAUUUAAAAAAAGAUAGUUUCCUGGGACAAAUUCCAAUAUCACAAUAUGCCGUGUAUGAAUAUUUAUAGGUCCAUCAAAAUUGGUGAAUAUUGAAUUUACUGAUAAGCGUUGUGGAGGGAUUUUUUUAUUAUUAUUAUUUAUUUUCUUUUUAAAAAAAGACUGGAAAACUAUUUGCAAUUUGGGUCAAUUUUCUGUGCAUAUUUUUGGCCCAAAAUAAUGUUGUUUAUUUUUCUGUUAAGAAAAAAAUUAAGUUUUUUCAUCGACAGCAGCUUUUGCAUGCGUCAUUUAUUCAAAUUGCAAAAACCAGCAACAACCAACCAACCAACUCUUACAAUAGUAGUGAAUUACACAAAACAAAAAAUGUAACUUAUGGCAAGGAUAUUAAUUGAAUAGACAAUGAAAUUUGGGAUUUUGGUGGUAUAAGAGUUUCAUUGUCAGUUGCAUGUUAGUAGUAGAAUAUUGACCAAUGUGUUUGUAUGAGCAUUAUUUUUGGGUUGCAGUGAAAACUUUCCAUCUAGAUACAUAGCUGUUUUGUUAGAACUGUGCAGAAAACCUAUCAAGCUGUUGUGUAUACAUAUUGCAUUGUGUAUAAGUACUGUUGCCUCUUGCACUCAGAUCACAAAUGUUGCUACAUUUGUUUUUCCAUGCCACAAGUCUGGCAUUGUUCUUUUUGUUUUGGCUUGGUCCUUUUGUUGUUGUUGUUUUGUUUUGUUUUGUUUUUCUGUGCACCAAGUGUCCUCACUUGUUAUAUUUUACAUUAAGGAUGUAGCAUCAUUGCAUCCUGUUAUUUUACAGAAAUCGAUACCAGCUGAGGUUUCUUUUUGCACAGAACCCUGUCUGCCUUUCCUCCUCCUCCUCUCAGCAAGUACCACAAAAUGCAUUUGCAUAUGGGUGUGAAGAGUGCAUGAUUAUAAUAGGCUGCAUGUGUCCUGUAGCAACACACGACAUUUUGGGAUCAAGUAUGACAGAAAGAUACUUGCUAGUUUGGCAUGUAUUGGCUUUUGACUUGGGAAUGUAAACAACAUAUUAGUACUUGCCAUAGCUGCCAUAGGAUGGCAACAUCAUUUUCCAAUCAUCUCUAGGUGUGGGUGACUAAGUCAGAAAGCGGAGCAUUGAAGAGAGACAAAUGACAGCAGAAGGGAGAGAAUAAGAAAAGGAUGACCAAAAAGAACAUUUGAGGGAAUCCAGAGGUAUUUGCGUGACAAUUUGUGACUACAUAUCAUUUCCUUUGCCUUCAGUUUCUGCAGUGUUGAUUCAUUUUGCUAAAGAUGUCUCAGACGUGGUCAGUUCUGGCUGCACUCCUUUUCUUGAUUUUCAGCCUGGUUGAAGGGUCAGCUUAUAACAUUGUGAAUGUGGAGGCUGGCGAUGAGGCUGUGUUGACUUGUGCUUCCACCUCCAAAAUGUAUUUGGUAAUGGUGACAUGGGAGAUAAAAUCCAACACUUCCUGCUCUUUGGCCUAUAGAAAUGAUCGCAACGAGACAAAGUUAAACUGCAGUGAGAGGAUGAUGUGGAAAUAUUCACCUGACAGGGACCCUGCUCUUCGUAUUUACCCUGUGAACCUGAGUGAUGAGGGAAAUUACACCUGUGAAAUUGCCACUGAUAUGGGGAAUUUUCAUUUUUCCUCUUCCCUGUCUGUGAUAGUCCCUCCUACAGUGACUCUGACCUCUGACAAGAGCAGAGUGGCUGUCUGCCAAGCUGCUGCUGGAAAGCCAGCUGCCAAAAUCUCCUGGAUUCCUGCAAGUAAUAACAGCUCUGAGGAAGAAUUCAAACAUGGCAAUGGAACAGUGACCAGAGUCAGCUACAUUGGCUGGGUCAACAGCAUGAACACCACUGUCACCUGCCUGGUUACCCACCCAGCUAUGAACCAGAAUCUCUCCCUAGAUCUGUCAGACUCUUCCUCCAGGCUUCACUAUCCCCUGGUGGCACUGCCUGCAAGUGUCGCUGCUAUCAGUGGUUUUGGUGUGCUUUUAUGCUUAAUUUUCACGUGCAGAGCUUUCUGCUUACGUAAAUUGGCAUGUGAGCCACCAGUACUGGUUGAAAAUUCAACGAAACUUGGAAGAGGAAAGAAAUUUCCAGGUCUUUUUGUCUGUGUGACAGUGAAAGAGAACAUAUGGGACAGAAAAAAAGGAGAAGAGAUGUUGACAGAAGCACAGGAGUCAGAAAUCUGUCAUUUUUCAUUUCCACUUCGCAAAGCAGCUCAAGUGGCUCCUGCACUGCUUAAAUUUAAAAAAUAAAUAAAUAAAAUUCAAGCUUCAAGUGAAAGGUAUAAACUCUUCUAGGUGCACUAUCCCAAGAACAGGAAUGGAACUGGACAGCUAACAGGGACCAACAGAAAUAUAGAGACGGAGGCAGACGGACAAGACCAGUUAUAAAAACUUGAAUGCUGCCAUGAUUGUGUUACUGGGUUUCACACCGUUAACCCAGAUAGACAAUACUAACUGAUAGAGCACACCUCUUCUGGGUUGUAAUUGCACAUCCAUGCACUCUGCAAUCUGCUCAGACCCACAUAUUCCAGCUGCAGCCCAGCAAGCCAGCACCGAGGAAACACAAGCCUUCAAACUCCCUGGUUGCUGCUCUUCAGAAUGUGUCUGUCUCACGUGCUCACUGCUCUGCAGAUUGGCAUGAUUUGUAACCUGUUGCCCACUACACCACCAAAUCCAGGGACUCUGUCAGUAGAAUUUAACUGAAAAUAUAUAAUGACAGUGAUAUUUAAGUUAUGGUGAAGCACUUUUUUUUUUUUUUUUUUUUUCCUUCCUAGCAUAAGAUUUCAGUUACAGACCAGUCUAUAAUUUCAAAGCACAGUUCUCCAUUGCCUCAUGCCUUGCUCUGUCCUUUACACCAUUACAGUAUGAUAGGAGUUACAGCUUUUGGAAAUGAAGAUAUUUUGGCUGCUUUACUCAGUAUUGUUGUAGUGAGUUUAUGUGGCAAGGUUUUGGUAGCAGGGGGCCAUAGGGGUGGCUUCUGUGAGAAGAAUCUAGAAGCUGCCCCAUGUUAGGUAAGGACCCCACUGCUGACCAGAGCUGAGCCAAUAAAUGAUGUUGUUUGCGCCUCUGUGCGAGCAUAUUUGAGAAAGGGGAAACAAAACAAACAAACAAACAAAAUGCUUCUACAUGGCAGCUGGGAGAGUGAGAGGACUGAGAAACUGCCUUGCAGGCACCAAGGUCAGUGAAGAAGGAGGGGG